UAGUUUUUAUAUGCCCGAAAGAAUUUCGGGCAUAUUAUGUUAUACCCCCUGGCGUCCGUCCGUCCGUCCGUCCGUCCGUCUGUCUAUCCGUCCGUCCGUCUGUCCGUCCGUCCGUUAGCAAUUUGGUUUCCGGAGCAUAACUUAAGUUCCAUUUGGCCCACAACAUUCAAACUUCAUAGGAUGAUUGUCCAUAUUGGGUAGAAGACCCCUAUUGAUUUUGGGGUCAAAGGUCAAGGUCACUAUGACCUUUAAACUGAAAACAGUUUCUAGAGCAUAACUUAAGUUCCAUUUGCCCCACAGUGUUCAAACUUCAUAGGAUGAUUGUCCAUAUUGGGUAGAAGACCCCUAUUGAUUUUGGGGUCACAAGGUCAAGGUCACUAUUACUUUAAAACUGAAAACAGUUUCCGGAACGUAACUUAAGUUCCAUUUGGCCCACAGUGUUGAAACUUCAUAGGAUGAUUGUUCCUAUUGGGUAGGAGACCCCUAUUGAUUUUGGGGUCACAAGGUCAAAGGUCAAGGUCACUGUUACUUUAAAACUGAAAACAGUUUCCAGAGCAUAACUUAAGGUCUAUUUGUCCCACAAUAUUCAAACUUCAGAGGAUGAUUGUCCAUAUUGGGUAGAACACCCCUAUUGAU